rnacentral:rRNA from 1 species
CCCUUAGAUGUUCUGGGCUGCACGCGCGCUACACUGAAGCGUUCAACGAGUAUUCACCUUGCCCGGGAGGGUUGGGUAAUCUUUUGAAAACGCUUCGUGAUGGGGAUAGAUUAUUGCAAUUAUUAAUCUUCAACGAGGAAUGCCUAGUAAGCGCAAGUCAUCAGCUUGCGUUGAUUACGUCCCUGCCCUUUGUACACACCGCCCGUCGCUCCUACCGAUUGAAUGGUCCGGUGAAGCCUCCGGAUUGGCGCGCACCUCGGUGCCGCCGAGAAGUUGGCUAAACCUUACCAUUUAGAGGAAGGUGAAGUCGUAACA